GGAGGGUCUGGGUGUGGCUCAGAGGUAGGGCAUCUGUUUCGCACUCUAAAGGUCCCAGGUUCAAUCCUUGUUUUUUCCA
rnacentral:tRNA from 1 species